rnacentral:lncRNA from 1 species
GUGAUAUUGGACAUUUUUGUCUUUUGCCUGAUUUUAGCACGAAGGUUUUCAGUUUUUGACCAUUUAGUAUGAUGUUGGCUGUUGGUUUUUCAUAGAUAGCCUUUGUCAAAUUGAGAUAAAGACCAUCUAUUCCAAUUUUCUACAGGGCAAUUUUCUGCAGGGUUUUUAUCAUAAAUGGGUGUUGAAUCUUGUUAAAGACAUAUUCUGCAUCUGUUGAGAUGAUCAUAUGGUUUUUGUCCUUGACUCUGUUAGUAUAGUGUAUUACAUUUAUUGAUAUACGUAUGUUGAGCCAUCUUUGGAUCCCUGGGAUAAAUCCAACUUGGUCGGGGUGUAUGAUUUUCUUGAUGACCUUCUGUAUUCUGUUUGCCAGUAUCUUGCUGAGGAUUUUUGCAUCUAUGUUCAUUAGGGAGAUUGGCCUGUAGUUCUCUUUUUUGGUUGUGUCUUUCCCUGGUUUUGGAAUCAAAGUAACACUUGCUUCCAGGAAUGAAUUUGGGGGUAUUGCUUUCCUUUCAAUUUCAUUGAAAAUUUAAAGCGUAGUGGCAGUAGUUCUUCUUUAAAUGUCUUGUAGAAUUCAGCAGUGAAGCCAUCAGGACCUGGGCUUUUCUUUUUUGGCAAAUUUUUAAUUACGUUUUCAAUUUUACUGAUUAUAAUUGGGGUGUUUAGAAUUUUUAUAUCUUCUUUGUUCAACUUUGGUAAUUCAUAUGUAUCUAGAAAUGUGUCCAUUUCUUCUGUGUUUUCCAUUUUAUUAGAGUACAGGUUCUUGAAGUAGGUAUUGAUAAUCCUCUGGAUUUCUUCUGGAUCUGUUGUGAUUUCACCUUUUUCAUUCCUAAUUGCUUGGAUUUGAGCCUUUUCUUUCCUUUUUUUGAUAAGGUUGGCUAAGGGUUUAUCAAUUUUAUUAUUUUUAAAAACCAACUCUUGGAUUCGUUGAUUUUUUUGUAUCAUUCUCUUAGUCUACAUUGCAUUGAUUUCUGCUCUGAUCUUUAUAAUUUCUCUCCCAUAUGAGCUUUGGGUUUGUCUUCUUCUUCUGUUUCUAGGAGCUUAAGUUUCAGCAUUAGGUUGUUAAUUUCAUCUUGCUCUGUUUUCCUAGUGUGGGCAUUCUGCCUUCAUUGUGUCCCAUAAAUUCCUGUAUGUUAUAUUAGCAUUUUCAUUUAUUUGUAAAAACUGUCUAAUUUCUUCUUUAAUUUCCUCCGUGACCAAUUGUUUGCUCAGGAGAGUGUUAUUCAAUUUCCAUGUGUUUUGUGAAGUACUUGCGGUUUCUUAUGCUAUUGAUCUCCAGUUUAAUUGGACUAUGGUCUGAUAAUAUACAUGGGAUAACUUCAAUUCCUUUGCACUUACUUAUGACCCAUGUGCAGCCAAAAAAGUAUGUAUAUUGUGAUUUUGUGGGGGUAGAACACUCUAAUUUUAUUGUUGAUUUUUUGUCUAGAUGAUUUGUCUAUUUGUGACAGUGGGGUAUUGAGGUCCCCCAUUACAAUUGUAUUAGUGCUUAUUUGGUUUUUCAUGUCCCUUAAUAUAUGUUUUGUAUAGUUGGGGGCAUUAGUAUUU